rnacentral:rRNA from 1 species
CAGUCGCCGCGGUAAUACGAAGGGUGCAAGCGUUACUCGGAAUUACUGGGCGUAAAGCGUGCGUAGGUGGUGGCUUAAGUCCGUUGUGAAAGCCCUGGGCUCAACCUGGGAAUUGCAGUGGAUACUGGGUCACUAGAGUGUGGUAGAGGAUAGUGGAAUUUCCGGUGUAGCAGUGAAAUGCGUAGAGAUCGGAAGGAACAUCUGUGGCGAAGGCGACUAUCUGGGCCAACACUGACACUGAGGCACGAAAGCGUGGGGAGCAAACAGGAUUAGAUACCCCCGUAGUCCCUGUCUCUUAUAC